rfam:Rufibacter tibetensis strain 1351, complete genome.
CAAAAGCAUUAAGAGUACCUGUAGGUACGGCAACCGGGUUUAAGCUCCAUCGGUGCCAAAACAAUGCGCGGCUUCUGCCGAAAAAAAGCUUUAGUG